rnacentral:rRNA from 1 species
UACGUAGGAGGCAAGCGUUGUCCGGAUUUACUGGGCGUAAAGAGCGUGUAGGCGGCAUGGCAAGUCUGCUGUGAAAGCUCUCGGCUUAACCGGGAGAGGUCGGUGGAAACUGCCAGGCUAGAGGACGGUAGAGGGGGGUGGAAUUCCCGGUGUAGUGGUGAAAUGCGUAGAUAUCGGGAGGAACACCAGUGGCGAAGGCGGCCCCCUGGGCCGCUCCUGACGCUGAGACGCGAAGGCUAGGGUAGCGAACGGG